rnacentral:rRNA from 1 species
UACGUAGGGAGCAAGCGUUGUCCGGAAUCAUUGGGCGUAAAGGGCGCGUAGGUGGCCAUAUAAGUCCGCUGUGAAAGUCAAAGGCUCAACCUUUGAAAGCCGGUGGAUACUGUAUGGCUAGAGUACGGAAGAGGCGAGUGGAAUUCCUGGUGUAGCGGUGGAAUGCGCAGAUAUCAGGAGGAACACCAAUAGCGAAGGCAGCUCGCUGGGACGUUACUGACACUGAGGCGCGAAAGCGUGGGGAGCAAACAGG